rnacentral:rRNA from 1 species
UACGAAGGGGGCGAGCGUUGUUCGGAUUUACUGGGCGUAAAGGGCGCGCAGGCGGCGCAUUUUGUCAGGCGUGAAAGCCCCGGGCUUAACCUGGGAACUGCGUUUGAUACGGAUGGGCUAGAGUUCGGGGAGAGGAGAGUGGAAUUCCCAGUGUAGAGGUGAAAUUCGUAGAUAUUGGGAAGAACACCGGUGACGAAGGCGGCUCUCUGGAACGGUACUGACGCUGAGACGCGAAAGCGUGGGGAGCGAACAGG